rnacentral:rRNA from 1 species
CCACCCUGACACUCCCCUGACACUCCCGAUCUCGUCUGAUCUUGGAAGUUAAGCAGGGUUGCGCCUGGUUAGGGCCUGGUGAGUACUUGGAUUGGGGAGGG